UACGUAGGGGGCAAGCGUUGUCCGGAAUCAUUGGGCGUAAAGAGCGUGUAGGCGGCCCGAUAAGUCCGCUGUGAAAGUCCAGGGCUCAACCCUGGAAUGCCGGUGGAUACUGUCGGGCUCGAAUCCGGAAGAGGUGAGUGGAAUUCCUGGUGUAGCGGUGAAAUGCGCAGAUAUCAGGAGGAACACCAAUAGCGAAGGCAGCUCGCUGGGACGGUACUGACGCUAAGGCGCGAAAGCGUGGGGAGCAAACAGG
rnacentral:rRNA from 1 species